AGCUUGCUCUUGAUGACGAGUGGCGCACGGGUGAGUAACGCGUAUGCAAUCUACCUAUAACUGAGGGAUAGCCCAGAGAAAUUUGGAUUAAUACCUCAUAAUAAUAUUUUUUGGCAUCAUUAAAUAUUUAAAACCCCGGUGGUUAUAGAUGAGCAUGCGUUCUAUUAGUUUGUUGGUGAGGUAAAGGCUCACCAAGACUACGAUAGAUAGGGGGCCUGAAAGGGUGAUCCCCCACACUGGUACUGAGACACGGACCAGACUCCUACGGGAGGCAGCAGUGAGGAAUAUUGCACAAUGGAGGGAACUCUGAUGCAGCCAUGCCGCGUGCAGGAUGACGGCCCUAUGGGUUGUAAACUGCUUUUUUACAAGAAGAAACCUUGGUACGUGUACCAACUUGACGGUAUUGUAAGAAUAAGCACCGGCUAACUCCGUGCCAGCAGCCGCGGUAAUACGGAGGGUGCAAGCGUUAUCCGGAUUUAUUAGGUUUAAAGGGUUCGCAGGCGGAAUUUUAAGUCAGUGGUGAAAGCCUAUAGCUCAACUAUA
rnacentral:rRNA from 1 species